rnacentral:rRNA from 1 species
GACGAACGCUGGCGGCGUGCUUAACACAUGCAAGUCGAACGGGCCUGUCUUCUUUUUUGGGGGGUGGGUUGAGUGGCGAACGGGUGAGUAUCACGUGAGUAACCUGCCCUUCGGUCCUGGAUAACCGCUUGAAAGGGCGGCUAAUACGGGGUGGUCCGGUUGGUCCGCAUGGGCUGGUCGGGAUAGAUUCACUGUUUUUGGUGUUUCGGCGGGGGAUGGGCUCGCGGCCUAUCAGCUUGUUGGUGGGGUGAUGGCCUACCAAGGCGGUGACGGGUAGCCGGCCUGAGAGGGUGGGCGGCCACACUGGGACUGGGAUACGGCCCAGACUCCUGCGGGAGGCAGCAGUGGGGGGUAUUGCACAAUGGGCGGAAGCCUGAUGCAGCGACGUCGCGUGAGGGAUGGAGGCCUUCGGGUUGUGAACCUCUGUUUCCGGUGGUGAAGGCCCUGUCCGUGUGGUGGGGUUGACGGUAGCCGGGGAUGAAGCGCCGGCUAACUACGUG